CAAUAGCGUAUAUUAAAGUUGUUGCAGUUAAAAAGCUCGUAGUUGGAUUUCGGGGUGGCCUGGCUGGUCCGCCGCAAGGUGAGUACUGGUCAGCCGCCCUUCCUCUCGAAAGCCCCGACUGCUCUUUACUGCAGUGGUCGGGUAGUUCGGGACGUUUACUUUGAAAAAAUUAGGGUGUUCAAGGCAGGCUAUCGCCUGAAUACAUUAGCAUGGAAUAAUGGAAGAGGACCUCGGUCCUAUUUUGUUGGUUUCUAGGGCCGAAGUAAUGAUUAAGAGGGACAGUUGGGGGCAUUCGUAUUUAAUUGUCAGAGGUGAAAUUCUUGGAUUUAUGAAAGACGAACUAGUGCGAAAGCAUUUGCCAAGGAUGUUUUCAUUAA
rnacentral:rRNA from 1 species